rnacentral:rRNA from 1 species
GACGAACGCUGGCGGCGUGCUUAACACAUGCAAGUCGAACGGAGAACGCGGGAGCUUGCUCGCUCCGCGUCAGUCGCGCACGGGUGUGUAACAUGUGUAACCUCUCCCUCGAUCUCUGGUAUCAGCGUUGGAAUCGGCGUAUAAUCCCGUAUGAGACGCUGGAGCGCGUUCGCGGUGGGUAGAAUUCGCUGCGGUGCGGGAUGAGCUCGCGGCCUCUCAGCUUGUUGGUGGGGUAGCGGCUCACCAAGGCGGCGACGGGUAGCCGGCCUGAGAGGGUGACCGGCCACACUGGGACUGAGACACGGCCCAGACUCCUACGGGAGGCAGCAGUGGGGAAUAUUGCACAAUGGGCGCAAGCCUGAUGCAGCAACGCCGCGUGAGGGACGACGGCCUUCGGGUUGUAAACCUCUUUUAGCAGGGAAGAAGCGAAAGUGACGGUACCUGCAGAAAAAGCACCGGCUAACUACGUG